rnacentral:lncRNA from 1 species
UUGAAAGAAGCAGUUCUAAUGCACAAUACUUGCUCACUUACAGAGAGAGGGUUUCCCUGAGGGACGUAUAGAUUCACCCAGCCUCAGUUUCCCCGUCUGCUCCUCAUCUUGGCUGUACGUGAGAAUGUAAGUUUAAAGUGUUUCAAACAGCAGUCACUGAAAUCAACAGGGAGGCAGUGCAAGCAUGGUUCCCUCCACCUGCAUGGUCCAGCAGCCUGAACCCAGACCUGUAGCACCCCACGAGGGCAGGUAACACAUUGCAUCUGGACAGAGGAGGAAUGGAAAAUCAGACCAAGACACACAGCAAGUGCAGGGAUGAAGGUUGUCACCCCAAAGCCUCACCUCAUACAUUUCAAGUAUGAGAAACUGCAAGGAACACCAGCCAUCAGCACUGCAGGCACCGAUGGGGCAAGGGGAAGCCUAGCAGAGCUCCCAGGCCCCAGUACCUGCACAGCUCAUUAGCCUCGCCUGGCACUUGUUUCAGUACCUUGGAGAGGUCCAGAAACAUGCUGUGGCCCUCCACUUCAGUUGGGUUAACCAUACCCUUUAUCCACAGAGGCAGCAGACCAGAAGCCAUUGUGGUGCCACAAGCCUAGAUCAACCUGGUUUCAGGACCACAGGUCUCAUGACCCUGACAUAAUCACUUGGAACCUCUUAGCACCUCGUCUGUGCUUGGGCCUGAGGACGCUGCAGGCCACAUUUAAAUCCCCUGCUCUAGGGGCCUACAGGAUGGCUCAGAGGGUAAAAGAUGCUUGCCACUAAGUGUGACGAUCUGAGUUUGAUCCCUGGGACCCACAUCGUAGAAGACAACUGAUUCAUACACAGUUAUCCUCCCAGUUCCACAUGUACUUGGUAGCAUGUGCACGCCCAUAUGCACACACACAUACAUGCACGCGCACACAGACACAUAUACACACCCACAUACACACACACGCUCACAUGCAUGCAUGUACAUGCACACACACACACGCACACAUACACACACAUGCAUGCAUGUUCACAUGCAUACUCGCGCACACACGUACAUGCACACCCACUCAACACAUGUACACUAAGAAUAAAUGAGACACAUACCUUCCAUCCCCCCAUUCCAAGUUGUGUUGAAGCUACUCCUAAAUGUCUCUGCGACUCUAAGACCAUGUGUGGAGCACAAACAGGUCUCCCUGGGUCUGAGCCACUGCCUGGUACAGCAGAGGCAACAGUGCCUGCCACCGCUCCCCUUCGCUAUUUGACUGCUACGAUUCAGACUUCUGACAGCCCUGACUUGGCCUCUCCUAUCUCCCCGACCCCCUUGGUGGGGCCCGACUUGUCAACAGAUCUUUCUGUGCCAGCAGCAACGGUGCCAGGAGGAGGUCUACAGACUGCGGCCUCUGUGGAAGAAGGUGGCGCCAGUCGCACAAACCUUGCUGAUAAGGUAUCGCUGCACAGUGCGGCUGCGUGCAUCCUGCUCUGCAGAGGGAGGUCAGGGAGGGUUUCCUGGAAGAUAGAGGCAGCGUGUUGAUUGUGGAGGCUGCCUCAGGAGGAGUGGCCCUGAGGGGACAUGGGGUGAGGAGUCUGCCUGCCUGGGCAGGAGGAGCCGGUUUAUUUUGAGGUCACAUCUGGGAAGCUGCAAGGUGCAGUUAGCAUGGAGAAGGGGGUAGGGGAGCAACAGACCCCAUUGCCCACAUGGCUGGAGAGACAAACAUGUGGCUGUGCUCCUCAUAGGUAUGGCUGCUGAAGGACGCAGAAGAGGAAGAGAUAGGGAACCACUUUCAUCGUGGAUGGAUAGAGUGAGGGAAGGGUUUUAGGGGAAGACACACCAAGCACAACCGGCAGGGACCGUACUGGAGCCCAGGCACUGUGCAGAUGCUGAAGUCUGAAAGCUGAGUCUGGGAGGGCAGAGAGACGGCUGAGCUGACAUUGUUCCAGACAAGGAAGGUGACCCUGGCGGAGGCCCGUGUAGGGCAGAAACCUUCAGAGAUACUGCCUAUGACCAGCCCAGGUUGACAGAUGGGGAACCCAGCCACGAUCCUCCCUGGGAAGAGGCUUGACAACUGCCACUCCCCUGGAAUUUGGGAUCUGCAUACUCAGGAGGCCAGAACUGACCGGCACCUGUAUGUGGUACCCACACCUAAGAGACUGAUGCUGAGGAAAUGUAUUGCCAUCCUUCCCUGCCUUCCCACCAGCACCCAGAUGCUGGCCCAAGGAAGAGGGUGACCCCAGAGUCAUCAGUGACAAGGGAAUCUCCAGAGAGAAUCCUCUACCCUUGGACUUGGUGUGUUUGACAAGAGCCAAGCAUCCGACAGCCACAGAGAAGUCAUUUGCACAUAGCAAGCAACUGUUCCCUGCCACAAGUGAAAAAGUAUGCUCUUGGCUCUGCUCCUUCCUUGAAGAUGGAAGCUCGAACUCCAGAAGUCGGUCUGCAUGCCCCAAGCCUCACACUUCCUCUCUUGUCAUCCCUGGAACAGUCCCCAUUUGUCCCACUUGCUGCUUGGGUCCUCUUUUCUGCAGCCCAUCUACACGACAGUGGCCACAGUGGAACUUAGCAUAAUGCCUAACUUAAAGCCACCUGUCACUCCCCACUGACAUUCAGUUCACACCCACCGUCCUGUGAUAGCACUCUGGGCCCUAUCCCUCAUCCCUAGUGUUUGUGAGGUGCUCCUGGCUCCAGCUCUGGAGACCCCCAGCCCUUCCACACAUCCUCCUUCCCAGCCCUCCUCUUCAUGACUCAUGAGCCUGCUUGGUGCCUUCUAGGGGGGGCUUGCGGGCUUGCUCCAGGUGGGCUGAGGCUGUCCAAACUCAUGCCACACAGGCGUCCCAGAAGACAUCACUAGCCUGUUUCCUCUGACCUUCCCUCUCCCGCCCUCCCUUUUAUUCCAGGCUCAUAGCUUUUCCAGGGCAGAGUGUUUUUUCUCAUCC